UACGAGGGGAGCUAGCGUUGUUCGGAAUUACUGGGCGUAAAGCGUGCGCAGGCGGUGAUGUAAGACAGAUGUGAAAUCCCCGGGCUCAACCUGGGACCUGCAUUUGUGACUGCAUCGCUAGAGUACGGCAGAGGGGGAUGGAAUUCCGCGUGUAGCAGUGAAAUGCGUAGAUAUGCGGAGGAACACCGAUGGCGAAGGCAAUCCCCUGGGCCUGUACUGACGCUCAUGCACGAAAGCGUGGGGAGCAAACAGG
rnacentral:rRNA from 1 species